rnacentral:tRNA from 1 species
GCGAAAGUGGCGGAAUUGGUAGACGCGCAGGUCUCAGAAGCCUGUGGUCAUUAGACCAUGGGGGUUCGAUUCCCCCCUUUCGCACCA